UGAUUUUCUUUUACAAAAACUUGUCCCUAUCCCCCAAGAAGAACUCCAUAAAACAUACCGAAAAUACUCACAAAGUCCCAAAAAAUAAGCUAUUACAAAACACUGCAAAAACGUUAAAAACUAAAGAAUAAAACUUUUAUGUCGCAAUUCGCGUAGAAGCCACCAACGAAAUCUUUUGUCGUCACUCACACCACAAAGGGCGCUGCCACCUGAGACACAAAAAAUAAGGAAGUUUCAAAUUAAGGUAAACAUUCAAACAUCCCUAUUCGAAAGCAUUCACAUAUUAUUCAUACAUACACAUUGUUAUGCUAUAUUCCUUAGCAACCUUCUAAACUACUCUAGAAUCCCAUGCUCUUUACAACUAUUCAAAUAGACGUUUCCAACCAAUGAGUGAAAUAAGCUUCUGAAGUCAAAUAAAAGUUGCUGGAAAAUAUUAACAAAGAUACUAAAAGACCAUUUUUCAUCAUCUUUUCAUCAUUUGCACCGAGGACUCAAGAACUUUAAAACUGUUCGUAGAACCAUAUCAAAAUCAGGCUAAAAUACGAGUUUUCGACUAAACAAUGUUGCUGAAGUUUUCCAAAGAGAAAUCUUUAAAACAAUAAGAUUACUACUCCGAAUCUUUACUCAAUCAUGUUUUCAUCUUAAGCAACUCAUCAAUAAGUAGGGAUUAACAAAGAGAAAUAGAGCAGAGUUUUUUUUCUUCUUUUUUACCUUUCUCUUUGUCUCUAUCUUUCCGCCGGCGCCGCCGGCAACAGGUCUUCCUCCUUCCUGCUAAUUUUUUUUUCAAAUAAAAAAAACAAACAAAAAAAAGUAAUGAAGUCAGAAACGUUGUGUAACUACCAAAAUAAAACUAUAGAUCUAUAGAUCGGUCUUGCAUGUCACCAGAGGACUUGCCCGAGCCUCUUCCUCUGACAUCCAAGCCCGGAUCUAGGCAAAGUCAACAAAACACGUGUAAGUGAGGGGUUUCAGAGAAGAAAAAAGGGAAAGAAAAGGAAAAGGACGGUAGCGGCCGUCGCUGUCGAGUGGAAGAAGAAGAGAGGAAGAGGAGAGGGAGGAGAAGCGAGGAAGGCGAGGAGAGGAAGAAGAAGAAAAAGAGAAAAAAAGGUAGAAAAAAAAGUCGCGACGGCGACGGCCGAGAGGGAAGAAGUGGAGAAAGAGGGUAGGAGAGUUAGAGAGAGAUAAGAGGUUUUAGAAAGAGUGCAUAGAGUUUGGGAGUGAUGAGAGGA
rnacentral:lncRNA from 1 species